GGAACCCUCCCGCUCCUGCCCGCUCUCGCCUCUGUCCCCCCGUCCCGUGUCUCCUCUCCUCCCCUCCCGCCGACCACCUACCUACCGCCGGAUCUCCCCGUCGAGCUCGCUCCUCGCCGUCGCUCUUACAGGCGCCACGCGCUCCCGUUCUCCUUCCCCAGCCCGGCGACGGUGGAGGCGCGCGGCCAUCCCUCCCCGGGCGGUGGUGGAGGAAGGGCGGGGCCUCCACGGUUGUCGGCGACCUCCUCCCCGACCAUCGACCCCUUUGUUAGGGCGCGGGGGUGGUUGUCGAUGGUGUCUCUCUCACCCGUUCUUCUCCUUGCACGUCCUCUCCACGUCGUUGGGCAGCGCCGCUGCUGGCUCUCUCCUCGGGGCUGGGCUGGGGCGUCCUAGGGAGGGAUUGGGCUGCGAUGGAUUUCCUCUCCACAUCGUUGGACAGCGCCGCCGCUGGCUCUCUCCUCAGGGCUGGGCAGGGGCGUCCUAGGGAGGGAUUGGGCUGCGAUGGAUUUCGUGCGGCACGAGGCUGGCUGAGGUCUAUUGCUGCUGUCGUUUCUUUCUCCACGAAGAUUCCGAUGAUUUGUGCUCCGGCUCUGCUUCCAGUGAGUGCGCUGAUUCCUACUAGCGGUCCCUCCUCUUCUCCAUGAGCAAGCACUCCGGCCAUAGCCUCGUCUCUUCUCCUCUCCGGUCGCCGUGGAGCGUUGGAGCCCUUGAAGCAUUCGAAUGGAACAUGUAUUGGCAUGCUCGGUUCAUCUUAGGUGAGUGUGAAUGUUGAAGUGUGAUUUCGUAGCAUUAGGCUUGCAGUUUAAGAGAUCUUCCAAUCAAUUUUUUUUGGAUUUUGGGGAUGUGUGCAGUGGAAAACUAUAGAUAAAUAAGAAUUCUUUGUUCUUCUUUCAUGUUGGAGAGAGUGACAGUACCUACAUUCCUGUUAGUGGGCUGUAUAUAUUCUAUAACUUCUUGCUGUUUUCUUUGUUACGGUAAUUUUUUUGACAUUUGUAACAGCAAAAUGAUAUGUCAAGAUGCUCUGUUUUUAUGGCACUUUUAGAGAUUUCUCCUCAUAUUAUAGAUGGUGUGCGAUAUACUUCUUGACAUAUCCCUAGGCAUCUUGACAUAUCCCUGGACAGGUUCUCAUGUUCAGCGCAUCCAGUUUGGUUGAUUAUUUUGGGAGGCUUAUUUUGGAAAGGCUUUGAGAGGCCGUCUGAAUCACCACCUUGUGUUAAUAGAAUUAUACAUAGUUUUGUACAGCCAUUUCAUUUUGCAUAGGGCUACAAAGUACAAUCAAACAAUCUGCAGCUUAGCAGUACUGUAUUUCCUGGAUUCUCCAAUUUGGGGUUUGAGCAUUGAGGCGUUGAAUAUGUCUAUAUGAACUGUAGUUAUAUAUUACCUGCUACUCGAGCUGGCUCUCUCUCUCUCCGACGUCUUGGUUUGCAGGCCGCUGCGUGGUGAGGUACUGACUAAGGAGCGCGAAUCGCCAGCACCACGUACCAGAUGAUGCCGUCAAGGUCGGCGUCAUAGUGACUGUCGAUGACUUGCAGUUGAUGCAUUGAUCAACACCGGUCUGGCGAAACUGAGCUAUAAAUAUGUUAAGAUCAAUGAUUGGUGGGCAGAAUUAAAGAGGGAUUACACAAGUAAGGAGAUACACCUGAGCAAGCAGCUAGACCCAUGGUACUAAUGUAAAUCGCUCAACCAUUUUGAUAUUUAGUCUCUCAAGAGUUAUUUUCUUAGUAUAUUAUUCUUCAAGAUCCACAUUCAUUUUACUCAGUCAUGCCCAAAUGCCUUUUCUAUAAAUCAUUCUAAAAGAUCCAGUUGUGACUUACUACCCCCCUCUGCCCAUAUUUUUAUCUAUGGAUGCUGCUCUCUCUCUCUCUCUCUCUCUCUCUGUGUGUGUGUGUGUGUUAUGGCCAUGUUUAGUGCUUCCGUUUAGUCCAAAGGGAGUAGCUCAAUUGUGUCCUGCAUAAAUUAGAUCUUUCCGAAAACAUUUUAACCAGGAUCCAACUUUCUAUACAUUGAUAACUAGAGCAUAAGUGCACUCGCUCAAUUCUGAAAUUGUUCAUAGUAUACAUAGUAAUCAUGACUAGAUCGUAGAAGUUAGAGAUGUACAAAUGAUUGAUUGGAAAUAUAUAUUUGUAUUUGCAACAACACACUGGAUCACGUCAGGUAAAUAUUUUUGUAGAAUAUAAGUCAGGUUUAGAACUUUUGACGACGACAGCUGAAAAACCAAAGUAAAUCCAUGAUAUAUAGUCAGUAUAAUAUAUAUUUAGAUAUUCACGGCACUGCAUAAGCAUAGUUCAGUUCCCCUGGGAGCACUAGCUGCUGGCUUUUACAUGUAUUUCUUGAUUCUAAUAAGAUGCAGCUAAUCUUAGAAAAUAUAGUAAGCACCUAUCAUGAAAUUUAAAACUGGCGUGAUGUGGCUCUCCGUUGAUAACUAUGAUGCUUGCAUAGCUGGUUGAUUUAUUUGAUUAUUAUCAAACUAAACCAUCAUAAUAUUAAGAUUGUGAUUAUUCAGAUGAAAAAUGAUCAAAGAAAUACAUGUACCAAAGUUACAUCUGUUAAGAUAAUGAUUAGGCAUACAAUUGCUUCUUCAAAUUAUUGCAAUAUUGUAGUUCUCUGUAGUCUAAUAAAUUAUGUACUGUGGUCCUCCGCCUCACCGCUUAACGGGAUGGAUCGGGCAACGUACGCCAAGGCGAGACCUGCCUCUCCUCUUAAGUUGAUUGGUUUCUCUUUCUGCAUUCCUUUUCUAUGGCCUCAUUUGGCAUUUCUCCUUCAUGAUUAUUAUGUUGUCCCUUUUGGGUUGUCAGAUGCUUUACCUCGGCAGCAUGAUGAGAUUCCUUGCUUUCUCCAUGUGAAUUUUCCAAAAAGCUUAUCUAUUUGAGGAACCAUUUUUUUUCUCAUUGAUGUUGCAUCGACCAAUGCUUAUAAUACCUAAUAGAACUAAAAGUCGGUUACCCGGUCAACACACCUUAUAAAAAAAUAUGAAUGGGCAAGAUGUGGCCAUCUAGAGUAGAAUUUGGUUCAUUGAUUAAUGUAGAAAGACACGGGUCAAAGUGAUCCUUUUCCAAGGUAAUCACCACUGUUUUGUUUUAGGCUUAUGUGCCUGAUGUUUUUUAGGAUCUCUGUCAAUAAGGGGAUAUAUCAAGGUAGUGUGUUGUGUUCUAAUUAUAAAUGAAGAGAAAGUUAAGAACUUCAUAGUUACAAUGUAAUCAUGGCUAGAGCGUAGAGGUUAGAGAUGUACAAAUGAUUGAUUAAAAAUAUAUAUUUGUAUUUGUAACAACACACUGGAUCACGUCAGGUAAAUAUUUUCGUAGAAUAUAAGUAAGAUUUAGAACUUUGACCAUGACAGCUGAAAAACCAAAGUAAAUCCAUCAUAUAUAUUCAAUGUUCAUGGCACUGCACAAGCAUAAUUCAGUUCCCUUGGGAGCACUAGCUGCUGGCGUAUAGAUGUAUUUCUUGAUUCUAACAAGAUGCAUGGCAAUCUUAGAAAAUAUAGUAAGCACCUAUCAUGAAAUUUAGAACUGGUGUGAUGUGGCUCUAUUGAUAACUAUCAUGCUUGCAUAACUGGUUGAUUUCUUUGAUUAUAAUCAAACUGAACCAUCAUAAUUCAAGAUCGUGAUUAUUCAAAUGAUAUGAUCAAAGAAAUACAUGUACCAAAGUCACAUCUGUUGAGAUCAUGAUCAAGCAUUAUUGGGAUAUUGUAGUGCUCUUUAGUCUAAUAAAUUAUGUAUUGUGGUGCUCCACCUCCUUUUCUCUUCUUGCCAGGACAUAUACUCUGCAUGGGAAGUUGCCUACUUGGUAUGAGCUUCAGACGCAUCGGCAUCGCUACACCUUUCUAUGUUCUUUUGUUAAUAGUCUGCCCAUAAUUAUAACAGCGAAAUGCAUGAAUGUAUAUAGCUUUGCACCAAGCCACUUUACUUUAUCUAUGAUCUGUCAUUUUUGUGAGUCGCAGAUGAUUUUGGCAUUGAUAUUCUCAUGCAAGCCAUCCUAUCUUUGCAAGCCUACAGAUAGAAUACACUCAGGGCACCACAUGUUUAAGUUGUCACUCCUAUGUUUAUAAGUUUAUAGGAAGCAAACAUUUUCAUUAUCUUUGGCACUUAUAUUUUCAUUAUAUUAACUUGUGCAGCGGAGUUUUAAAAUCAAAACGGGGCAAUUCUCUACUGUGACAAAGUGAAGAGAAAACUGAUGCAUCAAAUUAAUACAGAAAUUCAGUUCAUAUGAAGCAGAAGAAAGGCAUGCAGUACCUUACAUUGACAAUGAUUGUUAGCCCAUUGUGGUACUUCAAAUCUGAUAAAGAAUAUAUUUUAUGACCGAGACAUGGCAUUUGGAGAAUCUCAGUUCUAAUAUCUACAUGAAUCAACUUUUAUUUUGUCACGCUACUGAAUGUUCUGGUAUGGGACUAUCUAUUCUGUGUAGCUCUUAUAAGUAAUAAUGAAAUGAUCUAUAUGUAAAGUUUUCUUAUUUUAAUUAUAUUAUGUUGUUGAUGA